rnacentral:lncRNA from 1 species
UAAAGAUUAAUUAUUGUUAAAUAUUGUGAUUUUUGUUAUUUAAUAAUUUUAAAAGUUAACAUCGACAAAUAUUUAAAUAUUUAGCAUAUAGAGGUAUAAUAUUACAACAUUAAAUUAUAUUUAUUUAAUUAUACUAUCUAUAAAUCAUGGGCCAAUAAAAAUUUCUGGUAUGCCCAAAAUUUAAAUGGUAAAAUUAGAUAUUAAAUGUAACAUGACUUUCUAUGAAUAGUUACAUUAUGUCUAUUUUUAAAAAAAAAAAAAUCACACAUGAAUCAAGGUUGUGACUUAUGUUUUAAUAUAUAAGAUACAAAACUGAAACCCUUAAAUAAUGCAUAAAAAAUCUGUCGAUAAAAAAUUCAAAUUUAUAAUAAAAAAUUACAAUAUCCUCA